CACACACACACACACACACACACACACACACACACCAAAACACACACACAGCUAAAGAGUUCUGUAAACACAUAUUGCCACAUAUGAAAUGUAAGAUACUUAAGCCUGCUUUUCCUUUUCUCCUACCAGCACAUUCUCAAAAUUCAAGUAAUCAUAUUAAUGAAUUCAAUGUUCAAAUGUCACCUGACUACUACUUGUAAGUGGAUCUUAUGUAAAACUUGAAUAUUUGAAACAGUUCAUUCAAAACCUUGGAGGCUUACAAUAAAAAAAAGUUCAAACUUCAAGAUAGUAAGCUGGUUAUUUUAAUUUUUUAAUGGAGAAUCAGAAUGGCUUUUUAAAAGUAUCUGAAUGAGUAAUAAUAUUGUUGGUGAUAAUGAAAAUAUUUAAUCAACACUACUUGUAUGAUUCUUUCCUAAGAGCUUUAU